CCUGAGUCGAAUAGACACUAGUUAGCUGGUGUUAUUAUCUAGUUGACAAAAACUUGGAUUAUCUUUGAAUCUUCUACCUGGAGUAACAUCUGUCCAUUGGAAUGAAGGUACUCUCUCUUCCCAUGGACUCCUUCCUGCUGAGCAUUCACCUACAGUGUGGGCACCAUGAACUAAACCAAGGAGAGCUGAAUGACUUCCUUCCCUCAUACUCUCUCUUAUAACUCUAAGAAAUGGACCUGAAGGCAUUUAUUUCUGUUUUGUGCUGUUUGUCCUGCUCACUUUCAGGUGCCAGGGAUGAUUCCCAUGAGACCCAGCAGUUCAAAUCAUGAAGACCUUGGAGCCAGGAUUGCAAGCAGGAUGUCAGGGAAGCCCUGAUAAAACAGGGUGCCUGAGACUUGAGCCUAAGGGGAGUUUUAUAUUUGGAAAUAAGACUGCUCUAUGGGAAGUGAGCUAAACUAUUAACUUAUCCCCAUUCCCUUCCCCUCCCCAGAGAUUGAGGUGGUACAAGAAGGGAAAGGGAUUAUGCCUCACAUGUGUUGGAAAGUUAAUAUAUUUGUGAUUAUAUCUUUGAGUAAAUA